ACCAUUUGUUUUUAAAUUAGAAAUCUUGUUGCUUUAUUUUAUAAUUGUGGUAAUUAGGUUUCUAAUAAUGUUUUUUUUAAGUCUAUUAAGUACAGUAAUAUGGUAAAUUUUUCAUUUUGGUAUAGGCAUAAUCAUUAGGAUCUUCCUUUAGGCAUGCAUUAACUGAAAUUAGAUGUUUAUGUGUGAUGAAAUCUGACACCUCUACUGAUAUUAUACGAUGAAAUAUUUUUUUCUGACAUAAACUUGAAAUAUGGUAUGGUAUUUAUACUAUGUUCUUGUACUUUUUUUUAUUCAUUUAAUAGCAGUUAAUUUCUUUUUUUUUUUCGUAUUAACCUUUUAGAAAAUUUUAUUUUACAACUUGCAGAUUGUUUUAAAAGAACUACAAUAUAAAGUUAACAUAAAACAUGAAAUACAAGAUGCAAUAUAUUCUUGCAAUGUCAUGAUGUGGUACUCCCAAUAACAUCCUAAUGUAUUGUUUUUGAAUACACUGGAAUUUUAGUUGUCAGAUCAAGAUUGUUUUAAAAGAACUACAAUAUAAAGUAAUAUAAAACAUGAAAUACAAGAUGCAAUAUAUUCUUGCUAUGUCAUGAUGUGGUGCUCUCAACAACAUCCUAAUGUAUUGUUUUUGAAUACACUGGAUUUUUAGUUGUCAGAUCAAGAUGUUUAUGUGUGAUGAAAUCUGACACCUCUACUGAUAUACGAUGAAAAGCUAUGUCAUGAUGUGGUGCUCUCAACAACAUCCUAAUGUAUUGUUUUUUGAAUACACUGGAUUUUUAGUUGUCAGAUCAAGGUUUGCUUAUAAUGUUACAAGUAAUUCUGCUGGGACAAACUGGGAAAUGCGUGAAAAGAGUCACAUUUGCAGUGAUAUACAGAAUACCAUCAAGUAAAUAAGUAUUUGAAGCUGAUGUCUUGAAACUAUGAAGAAAGACAAAGAAACUUUUGUAAAAUGAUGCUGUCCUGAGUGCUGUAUAGUAUAUCAAGAGAGUAUUGUAUAAAAAGUUGUGGCUUUUAUGUUCAGGAUUAUAUUGAACAAUAAACACAUUAAAGUUUUAUAAAAUAA